CAUUAAAAAUUAAACUCAGAAUUACAAUGAACCUUGGCUGAAAACAUGCUCCCUAUGGUCAGCAUACAUGUUCUAUAUUUCUUGCUUGUGAACGUAUAUCUUUAUGAAAGCAGGCUACCUUGGUUGUUGAUGUUUGAGAUAUGGCAUGAUAAAAUGAACCUUGCUCUUUUUCUGUCCAAAUUACUUGGGAAAUUUAUCUUGAAAAACAAUGACCUAGCUAGCCCCUCAAUGAUAUGCCUCCAUCCUACCAGAGCCAUAUGUUGAUCUUAUUGAAAAACCUAUACAUAUAUGCUACUUGCUAUCAUAUUGAGCUUUGCCAAAUUGUUAUGAUCCUUGUGGAAUAUGCUUCAUACUUUCAUGAUCAAGAUCAAGAACACGUACACUCCAUUUCUGCAUACUAGACUUAGACACUGGAAGCUGGUAACAUCCCAUCCAUCCACCCCCCAAAUAAAGCUCCACAUGUGUUGUGACCUCUCUCUCCAAAAAUACCCUUGCAAAAGAGACAUGGGCUAUGCAAAAAGAAAAUAAAAAAGGGAGCCAUGCUCAAAGCAUGAUGAAAAAAGGAGAAAGAGAAAAAGAUAGCCCAUGUCCAAAACAAAGAGAAAAAGGAGACAGAUGGAAUCAUACAAAAGGAGUUCAUACACCUUUCCACCAUAUUCUAUCCACACACUUUCACAUCUUGAUCAAAUUUUAUGAUUUGUAUUCUACUUGGA
rnacentral:lncRNA from 1 species